ncrna:unclassified sequences type-P1 twister ribozyme
UUUAUAAUGCAGCCGUAGGCGGUCACAAGCCCGCAUAAAUGCAGAGUGUAAA